AGCCGGCGAGUGACGUGCGCGCGCCGCGGACGCCAAGGGAGAGCGCGCGGCCGCGAGGUGUGGAGUCGCGGCAGGGAUGAGUAACGAGGCCCUCCGGGGAAUCUCGGUUUUGAAGAGGGCGCGCGUGCACGCUGGGCCCUUCGCAUCCGUAGACGCUCGAGGCCCGCAGAAAGGAUACUGUGGCCGAUGAGGUAAAGCAUGUGAGGGUGCUUUGUAACCGGAAAGCGCCUUUCAAAAUAGCUCCUGAUUUGCUGCUGGUACCUGGUAGAGAUGGAAAACUUGACCAUGCGACAUCAAGUGACUGUGUGAAUAAUCAAACCAACCAUCAUGACCUGGUGUUAUCUGAUUCACCAGACCAUACAACUGAUGAGCACAACAGCAGUCCACGCCCUACAAGACUGGGAAUACCGUCACAACUAAACUGAACAAGCAGGGCGCCUGGGUGGCUCAGUCGUUAAGCAUCUGCCUUCAGCCCAGGUCAUGAGGACAGCCCAGGUCCUAGGAUCGAGUCCCACAUCCAGCUCCCUGCUCGGUGGAAAGCCUGCUUCUCCCUCUCCCACUCCCCCUGCUUCUGUUCCCUCUCUCCCUGUGUCUCUCUCUGUCAAAUAAAGAUUUAUUUGAGAGAGAGUGCAUGUGCAUAAUAUAUUUCAUGUUAUUUGUUCCUCACAUAACUAUUAUAAUGAGGCUUUGGUAUUAAUAUUUGACCACUGGUUUUUCAGACUGUGUUCAGUGAAUACUAGGGAUACUCACAGAACCAUCUAAGGUAUCCUUAGUGGGUAUGGGAUUGGAGAUAGAGGGAAAGUGAUAAAGAUUCUGAAUGGGCAAGGCUUCAGCCUUCAACUCAGGCAGCUUGUUUUGUAGACUUAAGGACUCUUGGGAAAGAAGUGUGAAAAUCAUCUAAGUUUUCCAAAAGCCACACUCAAAGGCUAAUACAUAGUAGUUGCUGAAUAAAUAUCUAAAUGGAUUUUGAUUAAAUUUAAAAUGCCACUUUUACUUCUUUCUGUACUCUUCACGUGGCACAUAAACUUUUAUUCUGCCAUUUGAGUUUCUUGAGAUGGGAGUAUUAAUUUUUGAGAAGAGCUGUUGAUUUUAUACUACAGAAGGUAACAACUGCAAGGAAGACAAAGAGUAGAAGGAUCCUGAGCUCACCUCCCCCAAGGGAUACACCAAGGCUGCAACUACUUUUAAUGCAAGUCACUCUGAGAACAACCUGAAUACUAGCAGAACAGCUUUUCCACAGCUAGAGAUAUAAAGAAAAAACCACAUUCAGAAGGGUAGAAGGGGCAGAGACUCAGGAAUCAAAACCCUGGCCCAGCAACCCACAAGCAGGAUAGAUACCACAGGAAUGGAGGUCCUCUCCAAGGAGGGAGGGGAAUCAAGCCCUACAUCGGUACCUCUGGAUCUGGGGACCUGCACAAAGAAAAUAAACCCCCAUAAAAUCUGCCUCUGAAAAUUAGCAGGGCUUAUCUUAACGCCAAGAGAGCCAGAAGGCUGUAAGAAACCAAGACUACGCAGGGUCAGAGCACUAUAUCACUUGGUCUGAGAUCCAACAUAGAGGCAAGCUGUUUGAAAAGCAAAUGGUUAUACAUGGGUUUAUAUGUGAAGGAAAUUUACUGAUUUUAGGGUGUAUGCUAAAGGGUCAGGGAAAUGCUGGUGGGCACCAUUUUUCCUGCCGCCUUUUAGCUUAGCUGGCCAGAUGCUUGUGGGAGCCAGUUCUGACACUCUCCAUCUGUCCUGAUAAUACCACUUUCUCUAUGCCAGCGUUCCCCUGCAGACCUGCCCAUCCCAAUCGGCACCACAACUGCAAACACUAUUUUGUUCUGAAGAUUUUACUGGGGUAAUCUCUACACUCGAUCAAGACUCACAUGCUCCACUGUCUGAGCCAGCCAGGCACCCCAGCAGCCUCAGUUUUGAACAGUGUUUCCCCAAAGCAACUUUCAUCCCACCACACAUGGUGGGCAGCCCCAGCCCAGGCCAGUACACCUCCAGAGCAACUCUUGCCCCAGGAAGUGGGUGUGCUAGCCUCACCCAUUAGCAUGCCCCAGCAGUUGUGGCUAAAACUUAGCCAGCUAUGCUGGGAGCUAACCCCAUCCACCAGUACACCCACGACAGUCAGAUCUCUUAGCUAGCUGCUCAGGGGUCCAGCCCUGCCCACCAGUAUGCCCACAGUAAUCACGGCUAAUCACUGUAACCAGCUAUGCUAGAGGCCAGAUCUGCCCACAACAGGAAGGUUGCAUGCAGGCAGGGGAUAUCGUUGGGAGUACUUGGUUCUGGUGACACAGAGGACUGUGUGACUUGGCCCCAAGGGACACCUUCUACAUAAGGCCAUUACUUUCAACAUCAGGAGACAUAGCUGACCUACUUAAUAUAGAGAAACAACACAGAGUCAGGAGACAGAAGAAUAUAUUCCAAACAAAAGAACAAGACAAAACCUCAGAAAACUAUGAAAGAGAUAAGGAAUCUGAUAUAGAAUACAAGGUAACAGUCAUUAAGUUGUUAAUCAGAUUUGAGAGAAGCAUACAAGCUCAGUGAGAACUUAGACAGAAAAUAUAAAAAUCGGAGCUGAAGAAUACAAUAGCUGAGGGAUGCCUGGAUGGCUCAGUGGUUAAGCUCCUGUCUUUGGCUGAGGUCUUGAUUAUGGGGUCCUGGGAUGGAGCCCCACAUCAGGCUCCCUGCUCUGCGGGAAGCCUGCUUCUUCCUCUCCCACUCCCCCUACUUGUGUUCUGUCCCUCACUGUGUCCCUCUUUGUCAAAUAAAUAAAAUCUUAAAAAAAAAAAAAGUACAAUACAUGAAAUGAAAAAUACACUAGAGAAAAUCAACAGCAGAUUAGAGAAUGCAGAAGAAUGGAGCAGUGAUCUGGAAGACAGAGUAAUGGAAAGCAGCCAAGCCAUACAUAAAAACAAAUUUUAAAAAAUUAAUAAAGAUAGGUCAAGGGACUUCUGGUACAACAUCAAGCAUACUAACAUUCAUAGUAUAGGAGUCCCAGAAGGAGAAAACGGCAGAAAACUUAUUGGGGAAAAUAGCUGAAAACCUCCAUAAGUUUAAGAGGAUGAAAACAGACAUCCUGGUCUAGGCUACACAGAGAACCCCAAAUAAGGGAGCCCAAGGCAGUCCACCAAGAUAUAUAGUAAUUGAAAUGUCCAAAAUUAAGGAUAAAGAGAGAAUCUUUAAAGCUGCAAGAGAGGGGCACCUGGGUGGCUCAGUGGGUUAAAGCCUCUGCCUUCAGCUCAGGUCAUGAUCCCAGGGCCCUGGGACUCAGCCCUGCAUCAGACUCUGCUCUGCGGGGAACCUGCUUCCCUCUUUCUGCCUGCCCUCUCUGCCUACUUGUGAUCCCUGUCUGUCAAAUAAAUAAAUAAAAUCUUUAAAAAAAAAAAAAAGGCGGCAAAAAAGCCAAUAGUUACAUACAAGGGAAAUCCCAUAAGGCUAUCACCUAAAUUUGUCAGCAAAAUGUUUACAAGCCAGAAGGGAGUGACAUGAUAUAUGCAUGAUAAGUGCUCAAAGGAAAAUAGCCAAGAAUACUGGACAAGGUUAUUAUUCAGAAUUGAAGGCGAGUUGGUUUCCCAGAUAGACAAAAGUUAAAGUUAAGCACCACUAAACUAGCCUUAUAAGAAAUAUUAAAGGGAAUUCCAUAAGCAAAAAUGGAAAGGCCAUAAUUAGAGAAAACUAUAAAGGAAAAAAUUCCACUUGUAAAACCAAACACAUAGUAAUGGUAGUAGAUCAAUUACUUAUAAAGAAAGAGCUGGCUAUUUGAAAAAAUAAAAUUGAUAAACCUUUAGCCCAGACUCAUCAAGAAAAAAAGACAAAGAACUGAGCUUGGAUGACUCAGUUGGUUAAGCGUCCAACUCUUGAUUUUGGCCCAGGUCACAAUCUCAGUGUUGUGAGAUGGAGCUCCACAUCAGGCUCUGUGCUGGGUGUGGAGCCUGCUUAAGAUUCUCUCUCUCCCUUUUCCUCUAAAAAAAUAAUAUGAGAAACAAAGGAGGAGAUGUUACAAGUGACACCACAGAAAUACAAAGGAUUAUGAGACUACUAUGAAAUAUUACAUGCCAACAAACUGGACAACCUGAAAGAAACAUAAAUUCCUAAAAACAUACAAUCUCUGGAGACUGAAUCAGGAAGAAUUAGAUCUGAACAGAUGGAUUUACUAGUAACAAAAUGGAAUCUGUAAUCAAAAACUCCCAACAUUGGGGCACCUGGGUGGCUCAGUGGGUUAAGCCUCUGCCUUCGGCUCAGGUCAUGAUCUCAGGGUUCUGGGAUCGAGUCCCGCAUCGGGCUCUCUGCUCAGCAGGGAGCUUGCUUCCCUCUCUCUCUCUCUCUACCUGCCUCUCCAUCUACUUGUGAUUCCUCUCUGUCAAAUAAAUAAAUAAAACCUUUAAAAAAAAAAAAAAACUCCCAACAAACAGAAAGUACAGGACCAGACACCUUUAUAGGUGAAUUCUACCAAACGUUUAAAGAGCUGAUACCUAUCCUCAAACUAUUCCAAACAAAAAAUGGGGUAGGGAUGCUUCCAAAUUUAUUCUGUGAAGCCAGGAAGGAUUAUCCUGAUAUCAAAACCAAAAAUACUACAAAGAAAAAUUACAGAUCACUAUCCUUGAUGAACAUAGAUGCAAAAAUCCUCAACAAAAUUCAGCAAACCAAAUUUAACAAUAUGUUAAAAGGAUCAUUCAACACCUUCAAAUAAACCAAUAUGAUAGACCACAUUAACAAAAUGAAGGAUUAAAAAUCAUAUGAUCACCUCCAAAAGUGCAGAAAAAGCGCUGGACAAAACUCAACAUCUGUUCCUUAUAAAACCUCUCUGCAAAGAGGGUUUAGAAAGAAUGUACUCCAACAUAAUAAAGGCCAUAUAGGACAAAUCCAUAGCUAACAUCAUACUCAGUAGUGAAAAGCUUAAAGCAUUCCUCUAAAAUCAGGAACAAGACAGAGAUGACUACUCUCGCCACAUUUAUUCAACACAAUAAUAGAAGUCUUAGCCACAGCCAUCAGGCAAGAAAAAGAACAGGCAUCUCAAGUGGUAAGGAAGAAGUAAAACUUUCACUAUUUGCAGAUGACAUGAUACCAUAGAUGGGAAACCCUAAAGACUACACCAAAAAACUAUUAGAACUAAUGAAUGGAUUCAGUAAAUUUGCUAAAUACAGAACCAAUAUACAGAAAUCUGUUUCAUUUCUAUACACUAAGAACAAAGUACAAGAAAUAGAAAUUAAGAAAACAAUCCCAUUGACAACUGCAUCAAAAAAGAAUUACCUAGGAGGGCACCUGGGUGGCUCACUGGCUUAAGACUCUGCCUUCAGCUCAGGUCAUCAUCUCAGGGUCCUGGGAUCAAGCCCUGCAUCGGGCUCCCUGCUUAGCAGGGGGUCAGCUUCCCCCUCCCCCUCUGCGUGCCUCUCUGUCUACUUGUGAUCUCUGUCAAAUAAAUAAAUAAAAUCUUUAAAAAAAAAAUCUUUGACCCCGCUUGCUCUAAAAUAAUUCCCUAUCUUCUAACUUGCUAUCAUGAUCAAGCUCUGCAUUUUUUCACUUUCCAUUCACUCCCUAACAUGCUUAAAUUUAAAUUCUGUCGGGAUGCCUGGGUGGCUCGGUCGGUUGGGUCACUGCCUUUGGCUUGGGUCAUGGUCCCGGAGUGUGGCUUGGGUCAUGGUCCUGGAGUCCUGGGAUCGAGUCCCGCACCAGGCUCCUUCAGCCAGGAGCCUGCUUCUCUCUCUGCCUCUGCCUGCCACACUGCCUGCUUGUGCUCUUACAAAUAAAUAAAUAAAAUCUUAAAAAAAAAUUUUUUUUUAAAGAUUUUAUUUAUUUAUUUGACAGGCAGAGAUUACAAGUAGGCAGAGAGGCAGGCAGAGAGAGAGAGGAGGAAGCAGACUCCCCACUGAGCAAAGAGCCCGACGCGGGGCUCGAUCCCAGGACCCUGGGAUCAUGACCUGAGCCGAAGGCAGAGGCUUUAACCCACUGAGCCACCCAGGCGCCCCUAAAAAAUUUUUUUUAAUUCUGUCGACACUACCUCAAUAAAAUUCUGAGUCAUCAGGGAUAAAAUUUAGUUGACAAGUUUCUAAUCUUUAGUAUAUUUAACUUUCUAUACCAUUUCACACUUGAUAUUUUGAAUAGGUAGUCAAAUAUAUUUUGAAUGAAUAAAUGAUAAUUGAUGGAGGGAAGGGAAAAAGUUGCUCUCAAACUCAAGAGUACCCAAGGAAUAAUAAAUAGCUGUAGUACUCAGAAUAAUGUCUCCCCCUGAUCUUCAACCCCCACAGAAGAUGUCUACAUCCCAGUUCCUGGAACCUGUGAAUAUGUUAUGUUACACAGCAAGGGGGAAUUACGAUUGUGGAUGGAAUUAAGGCAGCUAAUCAUCUGGCCUUCACAUGGGUAGAUUUUCCUGGAUUAUCACAAAGAUCUUUAUAGGAAAGGAGGCAGGCAAGUGUGUCAGAGUGCCGCGAUGGGAGAAAGACUCAACUGGACAUUUCUGGCUUUGAAGAUGGAAGGGGAUCAUAAGCCAUGGUGUUAGCAGCCUCUAAAAACUGGAAAGGGCAAGAAAAGGGACUGAACCACCAGAAAGGAACAAAUCUUAUACCUUGAUUUUUAGACAAGUAGAACCCAUUUCAGACUUCCAACCUCCAAUAUCUUAGUUAUCCAACCUCCAGAUAUCUUAGUUAUCUAAGGUAACUGUUGUUUUAAGCCGUUGAAUUUAUACUAAUUUGUUACAUCAAGAGUAUGACAAUAGCCAUUUCUAAUUUUCCUUUAAAGUAUAGUUGAAUCUUGUGAUUUUUUUUCCUAUUGAGUCUGAUCUGUUGAGUGGAGGCGUGGAAAUAAGAAGGAAACCAGGAUCAAAUGAGAGUUCCAUUAACUAUGUCACAGCAACUAUUCUCUUGCUGACCUUUAUACUAUCAGCAGCUUGCUUAUACUCUGAUAUAAAUACUAACAUCCUACUAUCAGAAAUUAAAACCCUAAUGAAAACUUAACAGGUACAUACUUGCUUGAGGAACAAAAGUAUAAGGAAAAAAAGAAUUGUAUUCUUCUUUUCUAUUCUGUGAGAUUGUAAUUCACCCAUCCCAUACCCUUCAGAAGAAAAUCUGAACCCAUUACCAUGGCAUGUUAAGGCCCUCACUAUAUCUAGCUUUGACUUUGAACUGUUUUGUCUCUUCUCGUCCAUUCUUUCCUUGCCCUCCCCCAUUCCCCGACUGCCUCCAGCCAAAGUACUUGCCAAACCUGUAGUCUCCAAAACCUACCAGGUCAAGUUCUCUGAGACUUCUUUGUGUUGUUCCCUCUGCCUAGGAAGCUUCCUCCUUCUCCCCUGCCCCAUCCCCCCCAAGGCCAGCUAUGCCUUUCUUUCAUUUCUUUAAAGACAACUCUUCCAUAUAGAAACUUGCCCUGGGCACCCCCAGUUAAAUUAAGUACUUAAUAUUACUCUAUGCAGGGGCACCUGGGUAGCUCAGUGGGUUAAGCCUCACCCUUCAGCUCAGGUCAUGAUCCCUGGAUCCUAGGAUCAAGUCCCACAUCGGGCUCCCUACUCGGCAGGAGCCUGCUUCUCCCCCAUCUCAUCUCUCUCUGCCUGCCUCUCUGCCUACUUGUGAUCUCUCUCUUUCAAAUAAAUAAAUAAAAUCUUAAAAAAAAAAGAAAAAGAAAAAGCCUCUGCCUUCGGCUCAGCUCAUGAUCCCAGGGUCCUGGGAUGGAGCCCCAUAUCGGGCUCUCUGCUCUGCAGAGAGCCUGCUCCCCCCCGCCCCCGCAACCUGUCUGCCUCUCUGCCUACUUAGGAUCUCUGUCAAAUAAAUAAAUAAAAAUCUUUAAAAAAAAAUAUUACUCUAUGCAUGUAUCUAUGUCAUCAUAUUAUGGUGAUUGUCUGAUCCUUAAUGGUCUCCUCAAAAGACUUUCAUUUAUUUAUUUAUUUAUUUGACAGAGAGAAAUCACAAGUAGAUGGAGAGGCAGGCAGAGAGAGAGAGAGGGAAGCAGGCUCCCUGCUGAGCAGAGAGCCCGAUGCGGGACUCAAUCCCAGAACCCUGAGAUCAUGACCUGAGCCGAAGGCAGCAGCUUAACCCACUGAGCCACCCAGGUGCCCCACUCAAAAGACUUUCUUAAAGGUGACAUCUGGGGGGUGCCUGGGUGGCUCAGUGGGUUAAGCCUUUGCCUUCGGCUCGGGUCAUGAUCCCAGGUGCUGGCAUCGAGUCCCGCAUUGGGCUCCCUGCUCAGCCAGGAGCCUGCUUCCUCCUCUCUUUCUGCCUGACUCUCUGCCUACUUGUGAUCUCUGUCUGUCAAAUAAAUAAAUAAAAUCUUUAAAAAAAAAAAAAAAAAGGUGACAUCUGGGUCUUUUAUCUAUGUAUCUUCAGCAUCUAGCUCAAUGCCUUGCAUAUAACGGGCAUUAUGUUUUUUAGGAAGAUGGGAAUAAUUAUAUCAAUAGGUUUCUAUUACAUUAACAUUCUUCAGCCUAAACCUUCACUUAGGGAGAAACUUCCAAUUGGUCUAGUUAGACCCAAGUAUCGCUGACUGACAACUGUAUGAGUCUCUUGGUUUUGCCUCAACCUACAUCAAAAGCAGCCCCAUAUUGUGAAUGGAUGUUUUUAAAAGCCAUAAAUAAGGAGGUUUUUGGAAGGCAGAAUGCACUAUCAUAUGUGAACAAUGCUGUUAUAGUGACUAUAUUUCAAGUUACCAAGUACAGAAAUGGUAACCAAGUUGUGUAAAACUGAACCACCCCAAUUGUGGUAGCCCGAAUUCUAUGCUCAAGGGUAGAUCUUCUGGUGUUUAAGCGAAGAGGGGGGAAAAGAAAUCCUCUUCAUUCCUCAUUUCCUUGAGAAUAGUUUUGUCUUUGACAUUUUUCUUCCCACUUCUUUCUGCACACCUCUCCUUGUAGUCUCCAAUGUCCUUACCUUUUGUCCCCAGUUAUAGCCCUGUCCAAGCCAGGAGCAGGCAUUUAGCUUUAUCCCUAAAAUGCUCCAGAGUAAUCCCCUUCUCUCCAUUACUGCAGAAUAGAAAGAAGGAAAAUAAGGAAAAGCUAAAUUCACAAAAAUCUGUAACUAUCUAAUUAUAUCUUAAAUCUCAGGGGGUUUUGUGGAAAGUAUUCUCUGGGAGUUGAAUUUCAAGUAUUGUAACACGCAAGACUCUCCAUUUUUGUCUGGGUCUUUUUGUAAGAUGGAGAACCUGUAUCAUACUGUUCUCUUACCAAAUAUAUAUAUAUGGUAAAGACCAAGCAUUAACUUUUGGAAUUUAAUAUGCUUUGAUGAUGGGGUAUCUCUGAAACUGUCACAUUCUUAAAUACCAAAUAAGCCAAAUUUGUUAAGGUUUUUUAUUUUUAUUUAUUUAUUUUUUUUGUUAAGGUUUUUCAGACGUAGUGAAACGUUUGUUUCAUUCUUUUAGUGCCAUGUGUUAAAAUCGCUACUUUUGUGCAAUGAAAAAAACCAACAGGUGCAAAAUAGUGUGUAUUAAAAAUUGGCGCAGUGA